CGCAGACGGAUUCAAAUAAAAAGAUCAAAAAGAAUCUUCUUGAUUCAUUUGUUCCCCAAAGUCUCAAAUAACCGCUCCCUCCCUCCCUCUCUCUCUCUCUCUCUCACACACACUCUCACAUCCCGUCUUUGGUCUUUAUCCUCUCCGUCCUCUAGUCUUUCGUUCCCCUUUCUCUCUCAUCCUUCGAAGUGGUCCUCUCCUCUCUAUCGGUCAAGAACAGUGGAAUUUCUUCUGGGUAUUAUCAGAAGCCCUAGAAAUGGGUGUAUACCUCAGUACUCCUAAAACUGAAAAGACGUCUGAAGAUGGUGAGAAUGGCAGGCUCAGAUAUGGCUUAUCCUGCAUGCAAGGUUGGCGUGCGACCAUGGAAGAUGCUCAUGCUGCAUAUCCCGAUCUAGAUGCUUCCACAUCAUUCUUCGGUGUUUAUGAUGGCCAUGGAGGUAAGGUUGUUGCUAAGUUUUGUGCCAAGUAUCUUCAUCAACAGGUUCUCAAGCAUGAAGCAUAUUCAGCUGGAGAUAUAGGAACUUCAGUUCAGAAAUCUUUUUUCAGAAUGGAUGAGAUGAUGCGCGGACAAAGAGGGUGGAGGGAAUUAGCUAUUCUGGGAGAUAAAAUAAAUAAAUUUACUGGUAUGAUUGAGGGUUUGAUAUGGUCUCCAAGAAAUGGUGAAGGGAAUGACCAGGUGGAUGAUUGGUCUUUUGAGGAGGGACCUCACUCCGACUUUUCUGGACCAACUUCUGGGAGCACCGCUUGUGUGGCUAUUAUUAGAAACAACAAACUUGUUGUUGCUAAUGCUGGUGAUUCUCGAUGUGUAAUAUCUAGGAAGGGUCAGGCAUACAACCUUUCCAGAGAUCACAAACCUGAACUUGAGGCUGAAAGAGAAAGGAUCUUAAAAGCUGGUGGAUUUGUACAUGCAGGGCGUGUCAAUGGCAGUUUAAAUCUUGCAAGAGCAAUAGGUGAUAUGGAGUUCAAGCAGAACAAGUUUUUGCCUGCUGAAAAGCAAAUUGUGACAGCCAACCCAGACAUAAAUACUGUUGAGCUUUGUGACGAUGAUGAUUUUAUUGUACUGGCAUGUGAUGGCGUCUGGUGAGCAUCUUUUGUCUGUUCUAAGUUCAAUUUUUUGACACUGUUGUGGCCAGUUAGUAGUUAGCAGAUCCUAACUGUUUGCCAUAUCUAGAGUUGCAAAUUAUUAGUAGUGCUCCAUUUACUAAAAAGUUAAUUACAUGCUAAUUCUUCGGAAAGGUGCAGUCCACUAGAGGGGACAUGUUUAUCUUUUAAGCAGAGUAACCUGAUGAUCUAAUUUAUUUUUAGUUCAUUUGUUUCUUAUUAUUAUCAGCAGGCUAUUUUGAAGGUAAUAUCAAUACAAUUCAUGCCCAGUCUAGCUCCUCCCAGUGACCUGGAUUCCUGGACCAGUUGGAUAAUGAAUGCUAAUAUAUCUCCUGGGAGUUCUUUUCUUGGGUUUCACUAAAAAAUGCUUAUUGACUUGCAUAAUUUCAUAUUUGGUAAUCUGGUUUUCCUUUUUGUCACUUUACUUUUGUGUGAUAGAACUCAACAGAAGAAAUGAAAUUUUUAGAUCUGUUGUCAGUGGUCUAUCUUCAAGAGGUAAAAGAAGCCUCUUGCAGAAACUUAAAACUUUUGCUCGUCAGAUGUCGUGUUUCACUUGAUGGGGAGAAAAGCAGUAAUUACUACAAUAUCUUGUGCACAGAGUGAAAACUAGCACCAAAACAAUUUUCAACUUCAUAGUUCCUAACCACGCCCACCUCAGCCCACACCGCAUGCAGGCACCAAGAAAGAUAAAAAGGGGAUUGCAUGUCAAGCCAGCAGCUAGUGGAUUUUGUUCAUGAACAGUUGCACACAGAAAGCAAGCUUUCAGCGGUAUGCGAAAGGGUGCUGGAUCGGUGUUUGGCGCCCUCAACUUCUGGUGGCGAGGGAUGCGACAACAUGACGA